ACCCGUCUCUUAACUUUUAAUUAAAAAAGCUAAGAACCGGCUCUUAAAACUCUUAUUUAAAAACCGGUUCUUAACUUUUUUAGUUAAAAGUUAAGAGACGGGUUCUUAUAUUAU
rnacentral:pre_miRNA from 1 species